AGAGAUUUAGGCUAACACAAAAGACCAAGAGCCUUCAAAGCCCUAAGUGAAAGUGAAAAUCUUUCAAUCUCUG
rnacentral:tRNA from 1 species